rnacentral:lncRNA from 1 species
CUCCAGCAGACAACUUCCACAACGCUAUCAGCCGACCUUCUGUCGGAUCCCUCAUGCAACCGGACCUCUCUGAUGGAUAGCCCUCAGAUAAUCUUCUACAUCAGAUAAACUCCAGAUGAACUUCUCUGGCAAUCAGAUUUCUACCGAACUUCACCAACAGAAAGUUCCCAUCCAAGCUUCUACAGCAGAUGACUCCCUCUUGUAGCAUCGCGCCUAAGGCAUCCGAC